GGUCAAAUAGUUUACACAAAACAUAACACUGAAAAUGUUAAGAUGGCUCCUGCCUUUUACCA
rnacentral:tRNA from 1 species